rnacentral:rRNA from 1 species
GACGAACGCUGGCGGCGUGCUUAACACAUGCAAGUCGAACGGAAAGGCCCUGCUUUUGUGGGGUGCUCGAGUGGCGAACGGGUGAGUAACAUGUGAGUAACCUGCCCUUGACUUUGGGAUAACUUCAGGAAACUGGGGCUAAUACCGGAUAGGAGCUCCUGCUGCAUGGUGGGGGUUGGAAAGUUUCGGCGGUUGGGGAUGGACUCGCGGCUUAUCAGCUUGUUGGUGGGGUAGUGGCUUACCAAGGCUUUGACGGGUAGCCGGCCUGAGCGGGUGACCGGCCACAUUGGGACUGAGAUACGGCCCAGACUCCUACGGGAGGCAGCAGUGGGGAAUAUUGCACAAUGGGCGGAAGCCUGAUGCAGCAACGCCGCGUGCGGGAUGACGGCCUUCGGGUUGUAAACCGCUUUCGCCUGUGACGAAGCGUGAGUGACGGUAAUGGGUAAAGAAGCACCGGCUAACUACGUG